rnacentral:rRNA from 1 species
GACGAACGCUGGCGGCGUGCUUAACACAUGCAAGUUGAACGAGAAUUUUUCGAGUGAUUUCUUCGGAAUGAUCAUGAAAAAGGAAAGUAGCGAACGGGUGAGUAACACGUGAGAAACCUGCCUUUCACAAAGGGAUAGCCUCGGGAAACCGGGAUUAAUACCUUAUGAAACCAAACACUCGCAUGAGAGAUUGGUUAAAGAUUUAUCGGUGUUAGAUGGUCUCGCGUCUGAUUAGCUAGUUGGUGGGAUAAAAGCCUACCAAGGCAACGAUCAGUAGCCGGAUUGAGAGGUUGAACGGCCACACUGGAACUGAGACACGGUCCAGACUCCUACGGGAGGCAGCAGUGGGGAAUUUUGCACAAUGGAGGAAACUCUGAUGCAGCGACGCCGCGUGAGUGAUGAAGGUCUUCGGAUUGUAAAACUCUGUCCUUAGUGAAGAUAAGGACAGUAACUAAGAAGCAAGCCCUGGCUAAAUACGU